rnacentral:lncRNA from 1 species
CCUCUUAUUUUUCACAUGAGAAAUAUUUUAUGUGAUUUUUUCUCAUACCCAGAAGCCUUUUCUACAUCCUCAUCUAAGUCUUUUUGAAUUAGAAAUUGGUUGGUUUAAAUUUGAGUUCAAAUUAUUUUGAAUUUAAAUGAAAACCUAGAGUCCAAAUUGAGUUGGACUCUCCUCUUCAUGCCACCACAUUUCUCCAUGCAUAAAGUAUUU